UACGUAGGGUGCGAGCGUUAAUCGGAAUUACUGGGCGUAAAGGGUGCGCAGGCGGUCCUGCAAGUCAGGCGUGAAAUCCCCGGGCUUAACCUGGGAAUGGCACUUGAAACUACGGGACUGGAGUAUGGCAGAGGGAGGUGGAAUUCCACGUGUAGCGGUGAAAUGCGUAGAGAUGUGGAGGAACACCGGUGGCGAAGGCGGCAUCCUGGACCGAUAUUGACGCUGAUGCGCGAAAGCCAGGGGAGCAAACGGG
rnacentral:rRNA from 1 species